UUCUCGGGCCUUAACUUUUCACUGCCGCUACUUCAGGACGUCGCUGGCUCAUUGAGAUGUGGACGUUUUCAGCUGCUUACCGGAGACCUCAGUUACCAUGGAGCUUCCUGAAACGGGCGGAGCUUCCUAUUCUGCCAAGAAAACUUUCUGCUAAAAUCCACGAAAGAAGGCAUUGCUGCAAAGGAUUCACACAAUCUCUAAGCGAUGCUUGAAACUUUUCUUGAAGAGUGUAAGAGCACAGCGUAUACUUACAAUUAGCAAGGAAACUUUUAGCAAGUGCUGAGGAAGAGCUCCCAAUGGUUCAUACAAUAUGGGCUAUGCUGGUCAGUGUAUGAGAUCUGUAUAAUAUAUUACGUAACUACAGAUUCAG